GAUAAACAUACAAAGUAGUACAUUCCCCAUCAGGAGAGAUUUAGCUAGCUUCUGUAGAGACAUUUGCCAUGCACCAAAGUGUUAUAGUCUCCCCUAGUCAUUACCUAAAUGUAAUACUAUCCACCCUAUGGUAAAGUAUGAGUGUGCUCCCACAUCAAGAUGUUUGAUGACAGGCUAAUACAGAUGACUCACAAGCCUGGUAGAGGUACACAAAUUUCUUCAGAGAAGAGCAGAUCUACUGGCCAUUUCCUUGACUAAAUUCCACAUGAAUGUGUUGGCUAAUGGUGUCAGUAGAGGAGAUAAUCUAAGCAUUGUGGGGACAUUGUAUAUAUGCCUGUGAUGCUUCAGCUACAUAUAGAGACCCUAUCUAUAAUAAGAUGAAGAUGAAGACAACGAUGAAAGCAACGACAAAAAUGAAGAGGAAAGAUAUGAAUGCUGUCAUGAUUGGAAUCACCACUAGUUAUCGUCUGCAUUUUCUCUUUGAAGAUGUCGAGAGAACCCCCACUGGAGAAUAAGUCACAUGGAACAGAGACAAGUAAACUGAAGUGACCAAGCCAAGGCCACAU
rnacentral:lncRNA from 1 species